UCCGUAGGGGGCAAGCGUUGUCCGGAUUUCUUGGGCGUAAAGAGCGUGUAGGCGGCCAGGUAGGUCAGCUGUGAAAACUCGAGGCUCAACCUCGAGACGCCGGUUGAAACCAUCUGGCUAGAGUCCGGAAGAGGAGAGUGGAAUUCCUGGUGUAGCGGUGAAAUGCGCAGAUAUCAGGAAGAACACCCGUGGCUAAGGCGGCUCUCUAGUACGGUACUGACGCUGAGACGCGAAAGCGUGGGGAGCGAACAGG
rnacentral:rRNA from 1 species